AUGUACUAUCACAUUGCAAGAUGUGGAGGUAAUAUUCGGCAUGAAUAUUGAUGUUUGUGUGGCAGCCUUAUUCAAAUACCACUAUUUUUGGACUUUUCGAAUAGUGUCGACGUGGAUUCAAUAUUUGAAGGGCAAAAUUUCCACUAAUUUAUGGGAUGUAUCGAGAGUGGCAUAUGGCUGAUCGAGUUUUGACACAAUAUGGCGCUUUAAAUGCUGCUGCUCAGGGAUCUAGGUUGACUUUAGACCCGAACUAUACUUUGCUGGAAGAAUAUGAAGAUCCACUAAUAGUGCCAAUACGACCUCGACAUCGGGUUGCUAGAGUUAGAGCACGCCGGGGUGGUGCUAACCUACAUGAUGAGGAUGAAGUUGGUUAAGAUCAACAACAAGAAGAGGCUGAGUACGGUAAUCAAUGUCCGUAUUAUCCAAUUAUGCAUAUGGUUACUCCAUUUGAUCAUGAGGCGGUUAGCUCAUCACAAAAUUGGCGACAAGGAGGCCAUGAAGGCAUAGAAAUAAUUAGAUAAAUAAACCUUUGUAAUAUAUAUGUUAACUUUUGAUAAUAAUAAAGUUCUUAAGAAAAUA